UAUCUCUGUAGAGUCUGCAUAUCAAUAAGCGGAGGAAAAGAAACUAACUAGGAUUCCCUCAGUAACGGCGAGUGAAGCGGGAAGAGCUCAAAUUUGAAAUCUUCAAGGUUCUACCUUGACGAAUUGUAGUUUAAAGAAGUGUUUUCUGUUGGUAGUUUUGGUAAAAGUUCUUUGGAAUAGGACAUCAUAGAGGGUGAGAAUCCCGUAUUUGACCAUUACUUUCCAGCUUUGUGAUACACUUUCAAAGAGUCGGAUUGUUUGGGAAUGCAGUCCAAAAUGGGUGGUAAAUUUCAUCUAAAGCUAAAUAUUGGCGAGAGACCGAUAGCGAACAAGUACCGUGAGGGAAAGAUGAAAAGAACUUUGAAAAGAGAGUUAAACAGUACGUGAAAUUGUCAAAAGGGAAGCGUUUGACACCAGUGUUGUUUUCUCGAAAAUCAAUUAAAAAAGGCAGGAUUUUGUGUUGUAUUGACUUUAUCAGCUUUCUGCACUCUUUUCUUGAUCUUUUUUAAUGCACUUUUCGUUUAACAAGUCAACAUCAAUUUCUUUUGUUGUAAAAGGGUCAUUGGAAGGUGGCUUUCUUUUCGGAGAAAGUGUUUAUAGCCUUUGGCCUCUGCAAUCGGAGAGAUUGAGGUCUGCAGCGUAGAUCCUUCGGGGUUAGAUACAUUUGUGCUAAGUUAUAGCCUUUCAUAGACAACUUGUUGACUAUGAUCAGUCAUGUAGCUUACUCGCUUAUGCUAUUUUACCUACGCUUAGGAUGUUGACGAUCAGCUGAGCGCG
rnacentral:rRNA from 1 species